rnacentral:rRNA from 1 species
UACGUAGGGUGCGAGCGUUAAUCGGAAUUACUGGGCGUAAAGCGUGCGCAGGCGGUUUUGUAAGCCAGAUGUGAAAUCCCCGGGCUUAACCUGGGAAUGGCAUUUGGGACUGCAAGGCUUGAGUAUGGCAGAGGAGACUGGAAUUCCUGGUGUAGCAGUGAAAUGCGUAGAUAUCAGGAGGAAUACCGAUGGCGAAGGCAGGUCUCUGGGCUAGAACUGACGCUCAUGCACGAAAGCGUGGGGAGCAAACAGG